rnacentral:lncRNA from 1 species
GCGUCCAGAAAAGAUAUUGGAAUCAACUUUGCACAUUCAUCACACGGUCCAGCAUUGAGGGUUGCUACUACUUGCACAUGAAGAUCCAUUCCACUUUAAAAGAAUUCAUCUAGCAGAAGCAGUUGCUUACAGAAGUACACAACCAAAUUGAAGAAGCAGCUUCUCCACGGUCCAAUCUUGAAGAGGCAGCGACACACCCAUUUAGAAGUUCACGGGCUGGACUUCAUGCUUUCCCUACAGACACGUCCACGGUCCAGCUUUAGAGAUGCACCACCAUGGCCCACAUGCAUGUAUUGGAUAGCUGAAAUAAAUAAAAUGAAGCAUGCAACCCCUUCAUUAUUAACACGGCCCACACAACUUGAUCCAGCAGCUUCAGCCAUGAGUAGCACAUCCACGCACACGGCCCAACAUUUACAAGUAUCCAACCUUCACCACGGUUCAGCAAACAAAUUCAACAGCUUGGGAAUAGCUCGUUCCAGUAAGGAGCAUCCAGAGUCCAACACGGCCCAAGGAGAGCAGCAGUAGAUUGAGAGUCCAGCAGGCUGCAACACGUUCAUUUAUUGGAGAAAGGCAUUCAGUAAAGAAUUGGGCCAGCAAAGAAGUUCCAAGCAGUCCAGCAAAGAAGUUCCAAGCAGUCCAGCAAGGUGCUUGAAGGAUGGCCCACGGUAGCAGGAGGAACACAACCCUAGGUAGAUUCCUCGGACCAGCCGUCAUUUUUAUAUGACACUUGGUUGGAAGGAGCAGAGGGCUGCCACACAUUUUCUGGGGAGAGUUGUUUUUGGAGAUUGAAAUUGAAAGGAGAAAAGGCAGUGACGAGCAUGGAGGGUGACGUCCAGUAGUAGGCGAUAUGCAUCCAUCAUUUAGGGAGCUGAUUUCACUUUAAUGGGAGCACUUAAUGAAGCACGCUGCUACAGUUUUGGAAUUUUAGAAACACAUUCUCUCUCUAAUUUAUUUUGAUGAAUUUUCCCAUUCCAUGUUUUUAUUUACGGUCUAUUUCUCCAAUUUCCGUGCUUUUUGUUGUUACCGAUGUUAUUGUCUUCUUACAUAUUUUUAUAUUUAUUUUAGAUUAAAUGGUUGAAUCAAUUCGAUGCUAAUUUUUAGGACUUUGUUGGAAAGAGAUUACAAUGUCGAGAUAGUGUUAUUU